CCAGACUCCUACGGGAGGCAGCAGUGGGGAAUAUUGCACAAUGGGCGAAAGCCUGAUGCAGCGACGCCGCGUGAGGGAUGAAGGCCUUCGGGUUGUAAACCUCUUUCAGCAGGGACGAAGCGAGAGUGACGGUACCUGCAGAAGAAGCACCGGCCAACUACGUGCCAGCAGCCGCGGUAAUACGUAGGGUGCAAGCGUUGUCCGGAAUUAUUGGGCGUAAAGAGCUCGUAGGCGGUCCGUCGCGUCGACUGUGAAAACCCGGGGCUCAACUCCGGGCCUGCAGUCGAUACGGGCGGACUAGAGUUCGGCAGGGGAGACUGGAAUUCCUGGUGUAGCGGUGAAAUGCGCAGAUAUCAGGAGGAACACCGGUGGCGAAGGCGGGUCUCUGGGCCGAAACUGACGCUGAGGAGCGAAAGCGUGGGGAGCGAACAGGAUUAGAUACCCUGGUAGUCCACGCCGUAAACGUUGGGCGCUAGGUGUGGGGGUCCUUCCACGGCCUCCGUGCCGCAGCUAACGCAUUAAGCGCCCCGCCUGGGGAGUACGGCCGCAAGGCUAAAACUCAAAGGAAUUGACGGGGGCCCGCACAAGCGGCGGAGCAUGUGGCUUAAUUCGAGGCAACGCGAAGAACCUUACCUAGGCUUGACAUGCAGGGAAAUCCGGCAGAGAUGUCGGGUCCGCAAGGGUCCUGCACAGGUGGUGCAUGGUUGUCGUCAGCUCGUGUCGUGAGAUGUUGGGUUAAGUCCCGCAACGAGCGCAACCCU
rnacentral:rRNA from 1 species